AAUUUGGCAUGAUAAAUGUACAAUAUUCAUUAAGAGGCCUAGUUGUCUUAUUGAUGUAGCUAAGUUUAUCUUUCUAUCAAAUGAAACAGGUAGUGUACUAUCUGUUUUUUCAAAAAUAAAUGUGCAAUGUUAUCUCUUCGACUAAAAGGCAUAAAAUUUACGUCAUGUUUCAGAGUGUACAGAUAACAUUGCUCGUUGAGCAAUUUUAGAUGUA
rnacentral:lncRNA from 1 species